UACAGAGGUGGCAAGCGUUGUUCGGAAUUACUGGGCGUAAAGGGCGAGUAGGUGGCCAUCUAAGUCAGACGUGAAAUCCCCCGGCUUAACCUGGGAACUGCGUCUGAUACUGGACGGCUUGAGUAUGGGAGAGGAACGUAGAAUUCCAGGUGUAGCGGUGAAAUGCGUAGAUAUCUGGAGGAAUACCGGUGGCGAAGGCGGCGUUCUGGACCAUUACUGACACUGAAUCGCGAAAGCUAGGGGAGCAAGCGGG
rnacentral:rRNA from 1 species